AUAUAAUAGUUUAGUUUAGCAAUUAGGCUUGGUUCACUAUGAAUCAAGAGUUUACUUACUCAAAUUAUGAUCCAAACCCUGUAGUUGUACAUCCAGGUACACUACAAUUGGCAUCGGAGACGUUUCUUUCCGCACAAAUUCAUCCAAAUUGUUUUUUAUAUCGAUCUAGGGAUUAUUGGUAUAGAGUUAGGGCAAAAAAUGAAUCCUAUAACCAUUUCCUUGAUCUGCAGACACAAUAUAGAGAUUUAUCCAAUGAGGUAUCUUCAUGGAGUAGAAAUUAUCAGCUUCAGAGAUUACAGUCUGAAAUCUCCUGGGCUAGAUUGGGAAUCCAUUCAGGUACCCCAAUUAGAAGAACAAUUCGUGAAUAGAGUUAGGAAUACAGAAGCUACAAAGAAGGAAUAUGAGGUUUUUAUUAAAGAAUUGGUACCUGAAUUCAGUGAAAAUAUUACUCCGAAUUCUGUUCCUGAUGCUACUACAGAUUCAACUUUAGAUUCUGAGUCCAUUUCUGGAUCUAAAACCGAUUCAGAUAAGGGUUUAAAUGAGUUUUCAAAAUCGACAUCAAACAUUGAAAACUCUACUAUCUCAAUUGGUGAUUUCAUGGUCUCUUCAUAUGAGGAAAUCAAAUCAAUCUCUACUGGUGGUGUUGUUGAAGAAAGCAAUUCUCUCGAUUUGGAGUUGAUUCCUCCAUUUUUCUUCGUUGAAAACGAUGCUGAUGAUUCAACCGAGGCUGUGAGUUUUCAGUUUACAGCAACUGAUAAAACUGAAGUGAAUGAUUUUGGAAGGACGGAUCAGACCGGAAUUGGUGAGUGUCUUUAAACAAAGAGGCAUGGACUCAGGAAGAGGAGGCGACCUUGGUUCAUGCUCAACAAAUUUAUGGGAACGAAUGGGCCGAGUUAACAAAGUUCUUACCGGGAAGGACAGAUAAUAUGAUAAAAAAUCAUUGGAACAAUCAUGUGAAAAACAAGUUACAGGGUCUGCCUCAUGUGGGCAACCCAAGCCAAUAUCCCUCUUCUUCUUUGAGAGCACAAAAUAGUGGCAGAGAAGAUUGUUGUCUGAAAGAUGGGUCCGAGAUGGAAGAGGUAUCAGAGUGUAGCCAUGCUUUAACUGCUCUUGCUUGCUCUCAAACUGAAACUAAUGUGGAUAAUAGCAAUAUUCCAGUACAUUCACAGGAUGACUUUAGAUUGAAUGAAGAGUUAGGUCACAUAGAAUUGCAAACUUCAGACCUGUCAUGUUCUCAGCAGUACUCUACAAUAUUAAAUGAAGUUCUAUGUGCUGGCGGACAACCUUGUGUUCCGGCUACAUCUGUUAAGUCCCUGAGCAUAAUUUUCUACGGGAUCCAUCUCCUGUUUUUGAACCGUCUGGACAUUGUACAACGGGGGCUGAAGGAAAUCACGAAACAGGAUCGUUGAUGUUAGGAGGAAGUUCGAUGGAGCAUCAUGUGGUUAGGGCUGAUGACCAGGAGCACUCAUCUAUGCAUCAAAAUGACCGUUCUGGUGUUUUCCACUCUGACGAAGGGACAAGUGGAUGGUUUUCUUCUGUAAAUGUGCACUUCAAUGCAAUGAUUUGCCAAUCUGAAAUUGUUAGAAGUUUAUCCUCUGACAUGUUAGCAGCAUACUGCGGUGAACCUCUAAUGAAUUAUUCAAGACCCUGAGAUGUUUACAUGCUCCUGUGAUGAUGAAAUAGAGGAGGAUGCUUCAUUGAACCUUGAUAGUGUUGAAACCCAUUCAAGCAUGGACAGAAGCAGAAAACUUGAUGUUGGAGAUCGGGAUCAGGGAACUUUAUUUUACGAACCACCUUGCUUUCCAAGCCUGGAUCUUCCAUUCCAUAGCUGCAAUCUCAUACAAUCUAGGGAGGAUUUACAAAAAGAGUAUAGCCCCCUUGAUAUCCGCCAGCAUACAAUGUCUUGUAUGAACUGCUAUUCUCCAUAUAGACUAUCUGAUUCAACAUCUCGAGAUGAUAGUCCCCAUGGAGUUUCGAAGAGUGCUGCUAAAAGGUUUCAAGGCACUCCUUCCAUUUUGAACAAACGUCUGCGUGAGUUCUAUUCACCUUUACAUGAUAGAAAAUGUGGGAAAAAACUCUAGGGGGAUAAAAAUCAGAGGAAGUUUUGCUCAUCCACAAUGAAUAGCAGUGAAUCUCAUGAUCUUAAUGUGGUUUAUGAUGAAAAUGUUCUCUUUUCUCCACCAAAUCAUCAGAAAAAUCAUCUGGGCGUCUCCACUUGUAACCAAGAAAAUCUGGAUCAUGGUGGGAUGCCUUCUUCAGAUGCUAGAAUCUCGGAUAGUGUGUCUGAAACAAGGCCUAGAAGAAACCAAGAGGCUGAUGGACUUGUUGGCACCACCGAAAUGGACAUGGGAUAUUUCAUGAACCCUGGAGAUAGAAGCUAUGAUGCGCUUGGGUUAAUGCACCAGUUGCGCGAGCAUUCUGCAGCAGCAGUAGCGGAAGCCCAUGAAGUUUUAGCAAGUGGUCAUAAAAUAUUCGCCAAACGGAAGACUUUGUAAUCAGGAUAACUCGUCUGAAGUGAACGAUCAAUACUCAGGCAGCAAGCUCGCUCGUGGCGGAGGCAUGUUCUUGAUUUCUGUGAACGUUGCACAUCUGGAAAGGGAACAGAGAGCAGGAGGUCUGCGGUUGGAAUUUCAGUAAGCUUCUCAAAGUAUUCCCGUAGUACAAGGAUGGGCCUAGCAAGGGGCUAACCUAGGCUAUAGCCCGUCCCUGUUUUUGGCCCAGCAUCUUUUUAGCCUGGAAUAUCUGUAAAAAUUUAUUUUAGAGUUAGCCAUUAACUCUAUCUAUAUAGCAUCUUAUAGUGGAUUAGAGUUAGCCAUUAACUAUACGUUUUGUUCCGAAAAAAAUCACUGUCUUUGACCGCCUUGUAAAUCAUUGACGUCCUAGCCCUAUCCAAGUGAAAGUCCUGGGUCCGUAGUCUUGCUCUAAUGGUUCAGUCACAUCAUACUCUUUAGGUCCGAGUUUAUAUUGUAAGUUUUCCAACAAACCAUCUUUUAUGCAAUUUUUUGGGAUUGAAAUCGAAAUCUUGA